rnacentral:lncRNA from 1 species
AAAUAGCCAAGAUACCGCCUAAAGUUAUAGAAUGCUGGAGCUAAAAUAGGGGUAAAUUCGGCGAGCAUCAACCAUAUUCAGCAUAUCGCCGAUCUAGUCAGCGAAGGACAACCAGGUCACCAAAAGAUUGCCUAAAGUUACAGUAGCCAGACCAAGAAAAAGCGAAAAAUGAAGGCGAUAUAAAGAGCAAUCGGCGAAUCACCGACCCGUUAGUGAUACCCGAGUUACUUCACCGAGCACCCCUGAGCAGUGACAUUUUAGACUUGUUUAAAGUAGUUUUGGCUAGAGAGAGCAAUUCAUUCAGAAAGGGAAAAAAGAAUUAUUUAGAGAGAAAACACUACCAAAGGGUUGGGGG